rnacentral:lncRNA from 1 species
AUAAGUGUCAAAUACGCUUAAGAUUGUCAAUGGUUCAUAAAAAGAGUUCAAGGUCAGAUGAACCAUGCCAUACAGAUCUCUACAAAUAUCCCGUACACCAAAUAAAUGUGUUCCGAUCCUUACAGUGCCUUAGAAACUGACAAAUGUAAAAGUUAUGCUUGGACAAUUAAUUCGGAACAUAAGGUCAAAAGUAUAUGAACCCUGACCGACAGCCAGACAUAGACAUCUUACUAUCAUUCAGUAUAUCAAAUACAAUUGACGUCAUAAUGGUCAUAUAUGAAACAUGCAAACAAACAUGUACAUGAAAUACCUUGGCGCUAUAUAGCAUACAGGUAUAUAUCCAAAAGGCUACACAACAUAAAACGAACAUUGCCGAAUGAUGCAUGAUAAUGAGUUCUAUGUUAUUUGAAACCUUGCAGAAGUCGAAAAUGUACAACUUACAAUCAUAACAACAGACAGUUAUGAUAAAGCUUAACGAAUCCGCGAUACGGAC